GACGAACGCUGGCGGCGUGCCUAAUACAUGCAAGUCGAACGCAGUGGGGACGGGUGAGUAACACGUGGGUAACCUCCCAUCAGAGGGGAUAACACUUGGAAACAGGUGCUAAACCGAUACUGAUGGAUGGACUCGCGGUGCAUUAGCUAGUUGGUGAGGUAACGGCUCACCAAGGCCACGAUGCAUAGCCGACCUGAGAGGGUGACCGGCGAACCUGGGACUGAGACACGGCCCAGACUCCUACGGGAGGCAGCAGUGGGGAAUCUGCGGCAAUGGACGAAAGUCUGACCGAGCCACGCCGCGUGAGUGAAGAAGGUUUUCGGGUCGUAAAACUCUGUUGUUAGAGAGGCGGUAUCUGACGAGGAAGCCACGGCUAACUACGUGCCAGCAGCCGCGGUAAUUC
rnacentral:rRNA from 1 species